rfam:Rhizobium yanglingense strain CCBAT 01603 genomic scaffold 01603_scaffold_2, whole genome shotgun sequence.
AGUCAAGGUCUCCGGCACCUAUUUUCGGUGAGCUGAUAUCUUUUGCCUUGAAGAAGGCGAAGAAAAUG